UGGGGAAUAUUGGACAAUGGGCGCAAGCCUGAUCCAGCCAUGCCGCGUGUGUGAAGAAGGCCUUUUGGUUGUAAAGCACUUUAAGCGAGGAGGAGGCUACUUGGAUUAAUACUCUAGGAUAGUGGACGUUACUCGCAGAAUAAGCACCGGCUAACUCUGUGCCAGCAGCCGCGGUAAUACAGAGGGUGCGAGCGUUAAUCGGAUUUACUGGGCGUAAAGCGUGCGUAGGCGGCUUUUUAAGUCGGAUGUGAAAUCCCUGAGCUUAACUUAGGAAUUGCAUUCGAUACUGGGAAGCUAGAGUAUGGGAGAGGAUGGUAGAAUUCCAGGUGUAGCGGUGAAAUUCGUAGAGAUCUGGAGGAAUACCGAUGGCGAAGGCAGCCAUCUGGCCUAAUACUGACGCUGAGGUACGAAAGCAUGGGGAGCAAACAGG
rnacentral:rRNA from 1 species